rnacentral:rRNA from 1 species
GACGUAGGGCGCGAGCGUUGUCCGGAUUUAUUGGGCGUAAAGAGCUCGUAGGCGGCUUGUCGCGUCGUCCGUGAAAACUUGGGGCUCAACCCCAAGCUUGCGGUCGAUACGGGCAGGCUAGAGUUCGGUAGGGGAGACUGGAAUUCCUGGUGUAGCGGUGAAAUGCGCAGAUAUCAGGAGGAACACCGGUGGCGAAGGCGGGUCUCUGGGCCGCAACUGACGCUGAGGAGCGAAAGCAUGGGGAGCGAACAGG